CCUACGGGAGGCAGCAGUGGGGAAUAUUGGGCAAUGGGCGCAAGCCUGACCCAGCAACGCCGCGUGAAGGAAGAAGGCUUUCGGGUUGUAAACUUCUUUUAAGAGGGAAGAGCAGAAGACGGUACCUCUUGAAUAAGACACGGCUAACUACGUGCCAGCAGCUGCGGUAAUACGUAGGUCGCAAGCGGUGUCCGGAUUUACUGGGUGUAAAGGGCGUGCAGCCGGGAAGACAAGUCAGAUGUGAAAUCCCGCGGCUCAACCGCGGAAUGGCAUUUGAAACUGUUUUUCUUGAGUACGGGAGAGGGCGUCGGAAUGCCUGGUGUAGCGGUGAAAUGUGGAGAUAUAAGGAAGAACACCAGUGGCGAAGGCGGAUGAC
rnacentral:rRNA from 1 species